rnacentral:lncRNA from 1 species
AUGACAUACAUGCCCCUCAUUUGUCUUAUUUACAUUUUACCUUUACCUUUACGUUCCUGUAAUCCGCCCCUACCCCUUUACUUUAUUCAGCAAUUAGCUCAACCCCUUUUCUCAUCUUGCAAUCCAUCACAUGCCUAUUCUUAUUUAUAAUAAAUCAUCAUGAUUUCACUUUCCCCAUUGCCCUCUUUGUAGAUCAGAAGUUUAAUCAAGAAUAGUUGAUUUUAAAGAGGGGUUUUGAGUUUUUGAUCUUCUCGAGUCAAAGAUGGAGCCUAUGGAUAUUGUUGGCGUCUCCUCUUUUUGCCAGACACAGUAGAUUCCAUCUCUAUCUUCGUCUUCCUCUUUCCUUUCUUUUCAGCAACUCUAAUCAAUAACAAAGGUGGAUGAUGAUGAUUGUUAUUUGUAUCUGCUUGCCGCCGCCGUCGUCCUCCUCCUCGAGCAACCAGUUGACGGCGGAGAAACCAUGGCAGCUCCGGAAGCUCCUCUCUGUUAUGUCGGCGUGGCCCGAAAGUCCGCCGCUUUCCGCCUGAUGAAACAAAUGGGAUGGGAAGAAGGUGAAGGGCUUGGGAAGGAGAAACAAGGGAUUAAAGGCUAAGAGAUUGUACGGAUGGGAAGAAGGUGAAGGGCUUGAGAAGGAGAAACAAGGGAUUAAAGGUCAUGUUAGGGUUUCCAACAAACAAGACACUAUUGCUAAGAGAACUGUUAGUACUUUGAUCUUAAGGUAAAGAGAAUGUUACCCAACUAUUCAUCAAAUAACCCAGUCGGGAUAUGGAACUUUUCUUUUGUGUACGGUCUUGAUAUGUUCGAGGCAAAAGUUCGUGGUGAAUUCGGCAUCGGAUUGAAUAUUCAGAUUUUGGAUGAUGUUAAGUUGAAUGUAUUUAUCUUACAUGAAUUUGGUCAAGAUAGAGAUAGUUAACGUUCCACCACAUUUGGUGUAUGCAUGUUCGAAAGCGAGUCGGAUCGACAAAUAUAAUACAUUUUCAUUUGAUGGCGACAUAAUUUUUUUUUUCAAAAAUGAGUCGUGUCAAAUAUAUCGUAUAAUUCCGAGUUACUAUAACUUUU